rnacentral:rRNA from 1 species
UACGUAGGGGGCAAGCGUUGUCCGGAAUCACUGGGCGUAAAGCGCGCGCAGGCGGUCAUUUACGUCUGGGGUGAAAGCCCGGAGCUCAACUCCGGGAUUGCCUUGGAUACGGGAUGACUUGAGGAUCGGAGAGGCAAGGGGAAGUUCCACGUGUAGCGGUGAAAUGCGUAGAGAUGUGGAGGAACACCUGUGGCGAAGGCGCCUUGCUGGCCGAUUUCUGACGCUGAGGCGCGAAAGCGUGGGGAGCGAACAGG